GCAAAGUGUUUCACCAUGUUCUUCUUCAUCCUCGUCGCAACUUUCAUCUGCCAGCUUUGCAGUGCUUUUAGACUGAACAUCACUUGUCCUCUGUAUACUACCACGGGAUUUGCUCCCAUUCUCUGCACUAGGCUUGUCUUUUAUGGGCCUUCUUUCUGCUAUGACUUCAAACACAGUGGGCAAAUCGUUGAUCAAGCUGUGCAGACGCUUCCUUUCAUUUUUGUUAAGACGAGCUCCAAAAAAGUAAGCCACAGAAAGCAACCAACAAUCACUGUGAACAGCAACCAGGGAAAGCCAAUCUCUACGAUUCAUUCCAUCCCUAGCAAAAUUUAUCCCAAGUGCUGGCUCUGGCAGCUCAGGUGGAACUUCCUCCGCAGGAAGGUUGACUUCCCAAGUUUCAUUUGGAUGUCCAUAAAGACACAAAUUUUCCUUCUCUGGAUCACAGAGAUUAUAAAAUUCAUCCACAUCAUCAGUUAAAGCACGAAGUAUCCCAACACGACGAGCACUGUAAUCUUUGAAGAUCUCUUCUACACUUCGAGGACUUGAAGAAAUUGAGGCCAUUUUUGUACCUCAACAACAAUUUAU
rnacentral:misc_RNA from 1 species